ensembl:lncRNA
UAUCUUAAAUCUUUCAAGAAGCCUUCUCAGAUUCACAGAGAAAGAAAGAAUCCUUUCUCUCAUAAAGCAUGUUUGUAACCAUAAUUUAGCACUCAUUACAGAAUUGUCUCAAAGUUAUUUAGAUGUGUUAGUCAUUUUAAUUGGCUGAUGAAAUCUUGAAGUCAGAAACCAUGUACUUUUCACCCCCUGAAUCCCCAGUGGCUCCAGCAUUGAGCUUUGCACAUGGUGAUCAAUAGUUGUUUUUAAAAAGUGGAUUCAAUUGAUUUUUCUCCAGGCUGAAAGGAGGCAGUAUAAAGCAGAGAUUCCCCCAAACCACAUGCCUCUUAGCUAUUCAUCCAACUGAUCACCUUUCAACACAGCCAAGGAUGCUAGGAAGCCUGGGCCUCUGACUUGGCCCCACCUGACCCCAGCGGCUUUCCUAUUCUCAGGACAGGAGCAGAAUGGUUGACAUGCUUUGGAAACCAAGACCUGCCCUUUGUAAAGCAUGAAAUCAAAUGCCUUCACUUGAUUGGGACAGAAGUGGCAACCCAGGCCUCUCUGGAUAAGCUCAACCUUCUGAGCUCAGGGUCUCUGGAGUACACUCGCCAGUAGGAAGGAAAAAGACUUCCCUUGAAGGCUUCAGGCAGAGCCCCCUGAGGAGGAGCAACCAAAUAUUCUUGUCUAAUCCCUACUACUUUGAACAUUUUGAGAUAUUCGAGAUAUUUGUGGUGUAGGUCUGUUUUAUCCCUCACAUGGUAAGACUAUGGGGAUGUGGAAUGAGUUGGGGAAGCAGUAAAGGUACAUAUAAAUAAGAUUGGCAGGAGAUGCUUCAAGAUGGCCAAGUAUAUCACAAGAUAUGCCUCUGGUUAAUAAGAAAUUGUCUCCAAAAUACUCUCAUUUGAAUGUACAAAAGUGAGGAGAUUUUCAGAUAAAGCAAUGAAAACCUCAGGUGUGGCUUGUGGAAUUCAUUUCCAGCUGGGAGGUUACCUAAGAAGCUGUGUAGAGAAAGUUUUCAGCCCAUCAUUGCAGGUGUUUUUCUCAAGAAUACAAGGCAGCAUGAGAAAGGACAGCAAUCCUCUCUAUAAAGCACAUGCAAACCUCAAGUAUUCUCAGAAUUCCUCAGCCUGUUGCCUGAUAGCUUCUUCUUACAGAUUCCCACUUUCAUCAGUGCUCAAAAAUGGACAGAGUACACAAAAUAUCCCAUAUGAUGACAGUAAAUCAACACCAAUAGCUCCUUCAAAAAGAUCACUUCCUUCAAAAAGAUUACCGCCUUCAAAAAAACUGAAACUUUUUUGACAAGGUCCAAAUCUUGCUACUGAGAAACAUGGCUCAAUGUUUCUGUGAUCUUUAAUAAAUAAAAUUAAAUAAGGGGAUGGGUCAAAUUGCUUCCUUAAGACACAGCUAGUCAUAGAUGCAGACAAUAACACUAGAAUGUGAACAUGUAGAUUACAAAGUUCUUUAAAGGUCCAGGCAAGUUCUUUAAACUUUCGUAUGCCACGGACCCUUUGGUAAUCUGGAAACCCUACAGAACCUCUUCUCAGAAUAAUGGUUUUAAAUGAAUAAAAUAAAACAUAAUUUGCUACAA